GCGCAGCCUGAUGCAGCGACGCCGCGUGAGGGAUGACGGCCUUCGGGUUGUAAACCUCUUUCAGUAGGGAAGAAGCGAAAGUGACGGUACCUGCAGAAGAAGCGCCGGCUAACUACGUGCCAGCAGCCGCGGUAAUACGUAGGGCGCAAGCGUUAUCCGGAAUUAUUGGGCGUAAAGAGCUCGUAGGCGGUUUGUCGCGUCUGCUGUGAAAGACCGGGGCUCAACUCCGGUUCUGCAGUGGGUACGGGCAGACUAGAGUGAUGUAGGGGAGACUGGAAUUCCUGGUGUAGCGGUGAAAUGCGCAGAUAUCAGGAGGAACACCGAUGGCGAAGGCAGGUCUCUGGGCAUUAACUGACGCUGAGGAGCGAAAGCAUGGGGAGCGAACAGGAUUAGAUACCCUGGUAGUCCAUGCCGUAAACGUUGGGCACUAGGUGUGGGGGACAUUCCACGUUUUCCGCGCCGUAGCUAACGCAUUAAGUGCCCCGCCUGGGGAGUACGGCCGCAAGGCUAAAACUCAAAGGAAUUGACGGGGGCCCGCACAAGCGGCGGAGCAUGCGGAUUAAUUCGAUGCAACGCGAAGAACCUUACCAAGGCUUGACAUGGACCGGACCGGGCUGGAAACAGUCUUUCCCUUCGGGGCUGGUUCACAGGUGGUGCAUGGUUGUCGUCAGCUCGUGUCGUGAGAUGUUGGGUUAAGUCCCGCAACGAGCGCAACCCUCGUUCCAUGUUGCCAGCACGUGAUGGUGGGACUCAUGGGAGACUGCCGGGGUCAACUCGGAGGAAGUGGGACGACGUCAAAUCAUCAUGCCCCUUAUGUCUUGGGCUUCACGCAUGCUACAUGGCGGUACAAUGGGGUUGCGAUACUGUGAAGUAGAGCUGAUCCCAAAAGGCGGUCUCAGUCCGAUUGGGGUCUGCAACUCGACCCCAUGAAGUCAGGAGUCACUAGGAAUGCCAGAUCAGCACGGUGCGGUGAAUACGUUUCCCGGGCCUUUGUUACCACCGCCGUCAAGGUACGAAAGUUGGUAACACCGAAGCUGGUGGCCUAACCCCUUUGUGGAGGGGACCGUCGAGUGGGACCUGCAUUGGACUCUAAUCUUAGACAGGGA
rnacentral:rRNA from 1 species